UGGGUAAUAACUCAGUGGCAGAGUGCAUGUUUAGCAUGCACAAAGUCCUGGGUUCAAUCCCCAGUACCUCCA
rnacentral:tRNA from 1 species